rnacentral:lncRNA from 1 species
CCCAUCUUGCUCUUGGGAAGACUCGAACUCACAACCUCUCGGUUGAAAGUGGGGGUUGCUUACCAUCAGAGCAACCCCUCUUGUCAUGAUAUGGUAACUAAUGUAGGAAAAUUAUUUUAUACACCCUAAAUUACCGUACGAUCUUGUAUUAUGUGCAAUGACAUUCAAAUAUAAUUUAACUUACUACGAUUAAGAGAUUUUAUUAAGUAAAAGCAUGCAUUUAUAAUAAUGACUAAGUAACAGAAGUACAUAUGUAAUCACAUAUUAUGUAUUUAAUAAUU